rnacentral:rRNA from 1 species
CCAGACUCCUACGGGAGGCAGCAGUGGGGAAUAUUGCACAAUGGGGGAAACCCUGAUGCAGCGACGCCGCGUGGGCGAGGAAGUAUUUCGGUAUGUAAAGCUCUGUCAGCAGGGAAGAGGAAUGACGGUACCUGAAGAAGAAGCACCGGCUAAAUACGUGCCAGCAGCCGCGGUAAUACGUAUGGUGCAAGCGUUAUCCGGAUUUACUGGGUGUAAAGGGAGCGCAGGCGGUUCUGCAAGUCUGAUGUGAAAGCCCGGGGCUCAACCGCGGGACUGCAUUGGAAACUGCGGGACUGGAGUGUCGGAGGGGUAAGCGGAAUUCCUGGUGUAGCGGUGAAAUGCGUAGAUAUCAGGAGGAACACCGGUGGCGAAGGCGGCCUGCUGGACUGCGACUGACGUUGAGGCCCGAAAGCGUGGGGAGCAAACAGGAUUAGAUACCCCUGUAA